AACGCGAAGAACCUUACCUGGGCUCGAAGCGCAGUGGAUAUGGGUGGAAACAUCCCUUUCUCGCAAGAGACUGCUGCGGAGGUGCUGCAUGGCUGUCGUCAGCUCGUGUCGUGAGAUGUUGGGUUAAGUCCCGCAACGAGCGCAACCCUUAUCGUUAGUUGCCAGCGAGUCAAGUCGGGCACUCUAGCGAAACCGCCUCGGAUAACGGGGAGGAAGGUGGGGAUGACGUCAAGUCCUCAUGGCCUUUAUGUCCAGGGCUACACACGUGCUACAAUGGCCGGUACAAACCGUCGCAAACUCGCGAGAGGGAGCUAAUCGGAAAAAGCCGGCCUCAGUUCGGAUUGGAGUCUGCAACUCGACUCCAUGAAGCUGGAAUCGCUAGUAAUGCUAUAUCAGAACGAUAGCGUGAAUACGUUCCCGGGCCUUGUACACACCGUAGAGAC
rnacentral:rRNA from 1 species